UUGAUCCUGGCUCAGAUUGAACGCUGGCGGCAUGCCUUACACAUGCAAGUCGAACGGCAGCACGGGGGCAAUCCUGGUGGCGAGUGGCGAACGGGUGAGUAAUACAUCGGAACGUGUCCUGUAGUGGGGGAUAGCCCGGCGAAAGCCGGAUUAAUACCGCAUACGCUCUACGGAGGAAAGGGGGGGAUCUUAGGACCUCUCGCUACAGGGGCGGCCGAUGGCAGAUUAGCUAGUUGGUGGGGUAAAGGCCUACCAAGGCGACGAUCUGUAGCUGGUCUGAGAGGACGACCAGCCACACUGGGACUGAGACACGGCCCAGACUCCUACGGGAGGCAGCAGUGGGGAAUUUUGGACAAUGGGCGCAAGCCUGAUCCAGCAAUGCCGCGUGUGUGAAGAAGGCCUUCGGGUUGUAAAGCACUUUUGUCCGGAAAGAAAACCUCUGGGUUAAUACCCCGGGGGGAUGACGGUACCGGAAGAAUAAGCACCGGC
rnacentral:rRNA from 1 species